UCAAACUGCUAUAAUGCAGAUGUAGUUGAAAUAAUGAUUUUUUAAGUAAAAAAUUGUAUGUUGAAACAUUUACUUGGAAAUGUUGAUCAAAAUGGAUGGUGGACAGCAGCACAUUAAAUUUGUGUCUUAAUCACUACUGGACCAAGAGUUUGUAGAAGAAAAAUUGUCAACAACACUGGUACAUUUAGAAGCAAGAUGGAAACCGAAAGAGUGUGUGAAUUACAUGUAUCAGUUUGGAUAUACAUUUAUCAAAUAAGCUACAGAGUGGUUUGUAAACCCAUCAUUUGAAGAAAAAGACAACAUACAUAACAUAAUAGACAGUACUGACAUUAUACAUAGUACUGGGCUGCUGAAUCAAACCAACAAACUAAUCAUUGCUUUACUGUAAACAAGUGUAAUAGUAAAAUCAAAGCAACAAACUAAUCAUUGCUUUACUACAAACCAGUGUUAUAGUAAAACACAAUGUGUGUGUAUUUUGUGCACAUAUAUGUAUAACCAAAGCAGUUAUCAUUUACUUUCAAUGCCUUUAAAAGCCCAUUCUGUUUUAUUUUGUACAUGAAAUGCACUUUUGUUAUUGUUUUAAUGGAGUUGUGUUUUGUUAUACUUUUCAAUAAAACAAAACAAAGAA